CAACAGGAGAGGUCAAGAAGGGCUUCCCAGAGAAAGAGAUUGCUGGUCCGAGAAACACCAUAGGGUGGAGAAGAUAUUGGGCUCCAUCCAAAGUCCAACUCCAGGGAUUUGAAUCUUAGAAGCUGCUGUCAGAUUCUCAGGAGGCUGCCAGCUCAUGCUGUGGUCUGCAUGAUGCCAAGACACCCAUCACAGCUGCCCAGAGACCUGCCCCUGGGCCCACUUUUUCUUCCUCUGCCAGCCAAAUUCACAGCAGUUUAAGAGGCCUCAUCCUCCACCUCUCCCCUGGAAAAUGAAGCAAGGACAGAAUGAGAGCAAGAGGCUGAAGGAACAUGAAAACAUCAGAAAGCAAAUGUAUGUGGCAUGCUAAAUGCUACUAGGAGAGAGGUUUCCCAUUAUUUCUGCUUAUCUUGGUGGAAUCUGUUUUCAUAAUAAAAAAUAUAAUCAAGAAUGAC
rnacentral:lncRNA from 1 species